rnacentral:rRNA from 1 species
AUUGAACGCUGGCGGCAGGCUUAACACAUGCAAGUCGAGCGGGGUGAUGGUGCUUGCACUAUCACUUAGCGGCGGACGGGUGAGUAAUGCUUAGGAAUCUGCCUAUUAGUGGGGGACAACAUCUCGAAAGGGAUGCUAAUACCGCAUACGUCCUACGGGAGAAAGCGGGGGAUCACUUGUGACCUUGCGCUAAUAGAUGAGCCUAAGUCGGAUUAGCUAGUUGGUGGGGUAAAGGCCUACCAAGGCGACGAUCUGUAGCGGGUCUGAGAGGAUGAUACGCCACACUGGGACUGAGACACGGCCCAGACUCCUACGGGAGGCAGCAGUGGGGAAUAUUGGACAAUGGGGGGAACCCUGAUCCAGCCAUGCCGCGUGUGUGAAGAAGGCCUUAUGGUUGUAAAGCACUUUAAGCGAGGAGGAGGCUCUUUUGGUUAAUACCCAAGAUGAGUGGACGUUACUCGCAGAAUAAGCACCGGCUAACUCUGUGCCAGCAGCCGCGGUAA